CACGUUGAAACACCGGUUCCCGUACGAUCCCCGAAGUUAAGCAACGUUGAGUCUGGUCAGUACUUAGAUGGGUGAACGCUUGAGAAUACCAGGUGCUGUAA
rnacentral:rRNA from 1 species